GGGGUUGUGGCUCAGUGGUAGAGCACUCAUCUAACACAUGUGAGUCGCUGGGUUUGAUCUUCAGCACCA
rfam:Ictidomys tridecemlineatus contig071883, whole genome shotgun sequence.